CUUCCUGGUUUUCUACCAGCCCCACCUGGGGCUCCAUCUGCAAUCAGCCUUUCAGUCCCUGGUUGUUCCUCAGGUGCAGCCUUUCAGAUGAACAGACCAGUGUAAAGAUCAACCUUUCUUAUAAACAGGACUACAUUCAGUAAUAAGAUCACUCCCGAAAAUGCAUUUCCACAAAGACACUCAGUGUUAAACUACAAAAGGGAUGGCUUUAGAGUUUUGGGGCCUUCAGAGGUCUUGGAUGCCACCCAAACUACAUCACAAUGUUGGCAUCUUUGAAGCAUAAAAGUACAUCAGUGCAAGAUAAUGCUGUUCCAAUGUUUUUUUCUUGCCUAAGAAGGGGUAAGGAGACCAUGAAGGGGUCGUGGUGGAACAGGAAUUCCUGGCAGAGCAACAGAGGCAACAUGGAGCUUGUCCUACCAGAAGAGGCUUUUUUUGUCAGGAGGUGCUGUGAGCUAUGAUGUAAGUGAGUCAUCAUAAACUAAAGGUUUUCUGAGGACUUUUCAAGUCCUUAAAACCAGCCCUGUUCUUCCAAUUAGUAAUUGGAGUGAGUUUAUCAUAGUGAAUGAAAUAAUGAAUAUGUGGCCUUCAUGAAAAGUGAUGUCAAAGAGUACUACUCCCAUGUAUAUGAGUUCCAUAAAAUAAGCAAAUUAACAUGUCUGAGAUUAAUGAAACAAGAGGCAGAUUAUUUAUUUUUUAUGGACUUUGUUUAACAAUUUAUAUCAAUCAGUUAUUCGAGAUCAGCUAUUUAUAAGAGUUCAGUUAAUAGCCAUGUUGUUCUGUCUUGUAAUUAGAGCUAUUCUGUUCCUGAGACAAAACCUGCAUCAAUUGUUUUUCAAAGUAAAAUCCAAUAA